rnacentral:tRNA from 1 species
GCCUUCGUGUACAGUGGUCAGCACGCUCAGCCUGCAUUCGAGAGGUCCGGGGUUCGAGUCCCGGCAAGGGCA